GGUCACUGCUAUCGGUGUUCGUCUAAGCCAUGCGAGUCAUAUGUUCUUCGGAACAUGGCGUACUGCUCAGUAACACGUGGAUAACCUGCCCUUGGGUCUGGCAUAACCCCGGGAAACUGGGGAUAAUACCGGAUAACGCAUAUCUGCUGGAAUUCUUUAUGCGUGAAAUGGAUUCGUCUGCCCAAGGAUGGGUCUGCGGCCUAUCAGGUAGUAGUGGGUGUAAUGUACCUACUAGCCGACGACGGGUACGGGUUGUGAGAGCAAGAGCCCGGAGAUGGAUUCUGAGACAUGAAUCCAGGCCCUACGGGGCGCAGCAGGCGCGAAAACUUUACAAUGCGGGAAACCGUGAUAAGGGGACACCGAGUGCCAGCAUUAUAUGUUGGCUGUCCGGGUGUGUAAAAUACACCUGUUAGCAAGGGCCGGGCAAGACCGGUGCCAGCCGCCGCGGUAACACCGGCGGCCCGAGUGGUGAUCGUGUUUAUUGGGUCUAAAGGGUCCGUAGCCGGUUUGGUCAGUCCUCCGGGAAAUCUGACGGCUUAACCGUUAUGCUUUCGGGGGAUACUGCCAGACUUGUAACCGGGAGAGGUAAGAGGUACUACAGGGGUAGGAGUGAAAUCUUGUAAUCCCUGUGGGACCACCUGUGGCGAAGGCGUCUUACCAGAACGGGUUCGACGGUGAGGGACGAAAGCUGGGGGCACGAACCGGAUUAGAUACCCGGGUAGUCCCAGCCGUAAACGAUGCUCGCUAGGUGUCAGGCAUGGCGCGACCGUGUCUGGUGCCGCAGGGAAGCCGUGAAGCGAGCCACCUGGGAAGUACGGCCGCAAGGCUGAAACUUAA
rnacentral:rRNA from 1 species